rfam:Myotis davidii contig21856, whole genome shotgun sequence.
GGCCUCCCUCUUUGGGGUGAUCGAUCGUGGGGCUCCAGGAUCGAUCGCCCCAAAGAGGGAGGCC